UGGGGUUAUUCGUGUGAUUUA
rnacentral:piRNA from 1 species